CUGACACAGGGAGGUAGUGACAAUAAAUAACAAUGCCGGGCCUUUACAGGUCUGGCAAUUGGAAUGAGAACAAUUUAAAUCCCUUAUCGAGUAUCAAUUGGAGGGCAAGUCUGGUGCCAGCAGCCGCGGUAAUUCCAGCUCCAAUAGCGUAUAUUAAAGUUGUUGCAGUUAAAAAGCUCGUAGUUGGAUUUCUGGCAGGAGCGGCCGGCCACGCGCUCUGCGCGUGAGUUUGUGCUGUCUCUGGCCAUCCUCGGGGAGAUCGCGUUUGGCAUUAAGUUGUCGGGCGUGGGAUACCCGUCGUUUACUGUGAAAAAUUUGAGUGUUUAAAGCAGGCUUAUGCCGUUGAAUAUAUUAGCAUGGAAUAAUAAGAUAGGACUUCGGAACUAUUUUGUUGGUUUGCGUUACGAAGUAAUGAUUAAUAGGGACAGUUGGGGGUAUUCGUAUUUCGUUGUCAGAGGUGAAAUUCUUGGAUUUCCGAAAGACGAACUACUGCGAAAGCAUUUACCAAGGAUGUUUUCAUU
rnacentral:rRNA from 1 species